AUAUGCAGACCUCUGAGGCUGGUUCAGAUACCACAUCAACAGUGACUUUACAGACCUCAGUGGCAGGACAGCAGGCAGUGCAGGCCCAAGUUGUACAACAAGUACCUGUUCAGCAGCAGGUACAACAGGUGCAGCAUGUUUACCCAACCCAGGUGCAGUAUGUGGAAGGGAGUGAUGCUGUUUACACCAAUGGAACUAUACUCUGAAUCCAUAGGUAUUGUGAGGUGACAGAAUUGGAAGUCAGUGCCAGGAAUAAAGCCCUGUGGACUGGAAUGCAAUGACUCAAG